rnacentral:rRNA from 1 species
GAUGAACGCUAGCGGCAGGCUUAAUACAUGCAAGUCGUGGGGCAGCAUGAGUAGCAAUACUUGAUGGCGACCGGCAAACGGGUGAGGAACACGUACACAACCUUCCUUCAAGCGGGGAAUAGCCCAGAGAAAUUUGGAUUAAUACCCCAUAAUAUAUUUGAUAAGGCAUCUUAUUAAUAUUAAAGCUUCGGCACUUGAUGAUGGGUGUGCGGCUGAUUAGAUAGUUGGCGGGGUAACGGCCCACCAAGUCUACGAUCAGUAGCUGAUGUGAGAGCAUGAUCAGCCACACGGGCACUGAGACACGGGCCCGACUCCUACGGGAGGCAGCAGUAAGGAAUAUCGGACAAUGGACGAAAGUCUGAUCCAGCCAUGCCGCGUGAAGGAUUAAGGUCCUCUGGAUUGUAAACUUCUUUAUAUGGGACGAAAAAGGGCAUUCUUGUUCACUUGACGGUACCAUAUGAAUAAGCACCGGCUAACUCCGUGCCAG